UACGUAGGGUGCGAGCGUUAAUCGGAAUUACUGGGCGUAAAGCGUGCGCAGGCGGUUCUCCAAGUCCGUUGUGAAAGCCCCGGGCUCAACCUGGGAAUGGCAGUGGAAACUAGGGGACUUGAAUCUGGCAGAGGGGGGUGGAAUUCCACGUGUAGCAGUGAAAUGCGUAGAUAUCAGGAGGAACACCGGUGGCGAAGGCGGCUCUCUGGACGGUGACUGACGCUGAGACGCGAAAGCGUGGGGAGCAAACAGG
rnacentral:rRNA from 1 species